rnacentral:rRNA from 1 species
AGAGUUUGAUCCUGGCUCAGGAUGAACGCUAGCUACAGGCUUAACACAUGCAAGUCGAGGGGCAGCAUGAUUGAAGCUUGCUUCAAUUGAUGGCGACCGGCGCACGGGUGAGUAACACGUAUCCAACCUUCCGUACACUCAGGGAUAGCCUUUCGAAAGAAAGAUUAAUACCUGAUGGUAUGAUGAGAUUGCAUGAUAGCAUCAUUAAAGAUUCAUCGGUGUACGAUGGGGAUGCGUUCCAUUAGGUAGUAGGCGGGGUAACGGCCCACCUAGCCUACGAUGGAUAGGGGUUCUGAGAGGAAGGUCCCCCACAUUGGAACUGAGACACGGUCCAAACUCCUACGGGAGGCAGCAGUGAGGAAUAUUGGUCAAUGGACGAGAGUCUGAACCAGCCAAGUAGCGUGAAGGAUGAAGGUCCUACGGAUUGUAAACUUCUUUUAUAAGGGAAUAAAACCUCCCACGUGUGGGAGCUUGUAUGUACCUUAUGAAUAAGCAUCGGCUAACUCCGUGCCAGCAGCCGCGGUAAUACGGAGGAUGCGAGCGUUAUCCGGAUUUAUUGGGUUUAAAGGGAGCGCAGACGGGUCGUUAAGUCAGCUGUGAAAGUUUGGGGCUCAACCUUAAAAUUGCAGUUGAUACUGGCGUCCUUGAGUGCGGUUGAGGUGUGCGGAAUUCGUGGUGUAGCGGUGAAAUGCUUAGAUAUCACGAAGAACUCCGAUUGCGAAGGCAGCACACUAAGCCGUAACUGACGUUCAUGCUCGAAAGUGUGGGUAUCAAACAGGAUUAGAUACCCUGGUAGUCCACACGGUAAACGAUGGAUACUCGCUGUUGGCGAUAUACGGUCAGCGGCUUAGCGAAAGCGUUAAGUAUCCCACCUGGGGAGUACGCCGGCAACGGUGAAACUCAAAGGAAUUGACGGGGGC